CGUGAGCAGAGCAGCUGAUAACACAGCCUGGGGUGGCCGCAUUGCCCCCAGGCUGCUCUGCUUUAACCUGGGGGCUGUCGUUGGGCCGGGAGAUGCCGUGCUUCAGGUGUGCCACAUCCACCACAGCAGGGACUCAGCAAAGCCAAUGCGGGGCUGAUGCAGGAGGCGGCCGGGGGCACAGCGCCAGCCGUGGUCCUGCAGCAGGGAGGUCACAGGUCUUACAGCAAGGGACAGCAGCGUCCAGCAAUAACAAAUGCUGCAACAGGAGAAACAUUCUUGGAACAACAGCCAACUGCUCUGCCAGGAACCUGCCACGCUUAGAGACCAGCUGAUAUUUCACUUGCAGAGCGUGCAGACAGCACAGUCAGAGCCCCGCGCUGCUCUGUAUGGCUCCAUGGCACCACAGGAGCCACCACCGUCCCUAUCAGUGUCACUGUCCCCAGCGGAGCCCUCCGGGGCGAACAGGAGCCACCGCGGGGCUGACAAACCAAGCCUGGCACAGAAUCAGCACGGGGACCUAAAUGAGAAACAGAAGCUCGGUAUUUUUCCCUGCCCACUUUUGAUGGACUCGUUUGGCUGCAGGGGGACCACAGGAUUUCCUCAGCCAGGUCUGCGUUCACAAACCACAGCUGUAAGACCGCGGGGAGGGCAGCCCCUAUUCCAGCUCUGGCUUCCCACCAGGAAACCGCGGUGUGCACAGCUCUGGUUCCUCGAGCACCCGCAGGCCUGGAUUUCUGCCAUCAGCUCCGUGUCUGCCUGGGGGGCAGCAGACGCCUGGCCCCAUCCUGAGCCCCCACGGCACCACGCGGAGCAAAGCCGGAGCGAUGCACACGGGUGCAAAGCCCAGACCCCAACACGCCGGGCACAAAGCGCUCCCUGCCCGCAUGAAUGCUUUCAGCCCUGUCACAAAGCAAACAGACCUUAGCAGAAAGGUAUGCAUGGGCAUGUCUGGGCAUCCAGGUGCUUUUGCAGCCUGACGAGGCAGCUGAAUGCCUUUGAAGAGGCUGUUGCAUGGCAGCGGAGGGCACCGGAGUUGAAGCAAGGACAAACCUCCACUUCUCAGGGACCAUUUCAGCUUCGCUGCAGGUUCAGCACAGCCGCGUCCCCACCGGGGCUGCGGAGAGACUGAGAGGCAGCCCAGCCUCACCCCUCUGUGCAACCACAACACUGCUAUCCUACAGCAUGACAGGGGACCUCCUGGGGACAUCAGAAGGUCCACAGCCCACGGGUGCUCUGCAGCCCUGUCCUGGGAUAACGAGGAGCAUCAAACACACAGCUGGAACCCCCUUCUGCCGAUGCAGACGCCUCCUCUCCAAACCACGUACAGCAGGGUGCAGUCGGUCAUUCCCCGCGGUGAAGCAGCACGGCGCUGCAGGCAGGUGCAGGAAGCCAUCCCACGCUGUCAUUUACUGCUCAUCCUGAAAUGGAAGCUCGGUGGGGACACAGGGCUGAUCUCGCCCUCCUGCUUUCAUUAGGUGACGCCGUGCUCUGUCACAGCCUUUGAUCUCUGUGGGCUCUGGGAGACGUGCAGGAGGGAGGGGGUGCAUCUUUGGCUUUUCCAGCUCCGGUAAUGACAUCCUUCCUCAACCCAGGGAGAAGAAAGCACUUUGAGGGUGAUUGAGCAGCGCUCCUGAGACACAGCUUUAAAUAAACUAAUUAGCAAGCUGCCUUCAUUUCUGGAUUUAGUAACCCUUCAGUGCAAAUUAAAGGUGAUGAGCAACAGCUGAGCUAAGCCAUGCGUGAGCCUCGCAGUGCCGGCCACUCCCCACACCCCCGUGGACGUUGGAUGCUCUGCAGCUCCACGGUGACAGCCAUAGGGAGGGUUGGUGCCACCACCAGCCAAG
ensembl:lncRNA